CCUACGGGAGGCAGCAGUGAGGAAUAUUGGUCAAUGGACGAGAGUCUGAACCAGCCAAGUAGCGUGAAGGAUGACUGCCCUAUGGGUUGUCACCUUCUUUUAUAUAGGCAUAAAAUGUUCCCCGUGUGGGAUUUUGUCUGUACCAUAUGAAUAAGGAUCAGCUAACUCCGUGCCAGCAUCCGCGGUAAUCCGGAGGAUCCGAGCGUUAUCCGGAUUUAUUGGGUUUAAAGGGAGCGUAGGUGGAUUGUUAAGUCAGUUUUGAAAGUUUGCGGCUCAACCGUAAAAUUGCAGUUGAAACUGGCAGUCUUGAGUACAGUAGAGGUGGGCGGAAUUCGUGGUGUAGCGGUGAAAUGCUUAGAUAUCACGAAGAACUCCGAGUGCGAAGGCAGCUCACUGGACUGCAACUGACACUGAGGCUCGAAAGUGUGGGUAUCAAACAGGAUUAGAUACCCCUGUAGUC
rnacentral:rRNA from 1 species